UUUCCAGGCAUGUUUUCACUCUGCAGAUAUAAUAACAGUCAACAGACUCUUCUAUUGGCUCCAGUUAGACCAACAUUGAUGCUUCAUGUGUUUGAUUCUAUGCAAACUCAGUGACCUUCCUUGUUACUCAGCUAUAAAAACUUCCCAUCAGGCUGUCAGUGGAGUUCACAGCACGUCAGUUUCAACAUCAACCAUGUUUUCUGUAGCUCUGCUGCUGCUGUUGGCAGCUGGAUGUGUGAAGUGUGAACAGCUGACACAGCCAGCCUCUGUGACUGUGCAGCCAGGUCAACGUCUGACCAUCACCUGUCAGGUCUCUUAUUCUGUUAGCAGCUACUGGACAGCUUGGAUCAGACAGCCUGCAGGGAAAGGACUGGAGUGGAUUGGAAUGGGAGCUGGCUCUACCACAUACUACAAAGAUUCACUAAAGAACAAGUUCAGUAUCGACUUAGACUCUUCCAGCAACACAGUGACUCUAAACGGACAGAAUGUGCAGCCUGAAGACACUGCUGUGUAUUACUGUGCCAGAGAGCCACAAUAACACAAACCAUCAGUAGACCUGAACAAAAACCCCUCAGUGCCUGAACACUUGUAACAUGAAGCCACCAGAGGAGGAGCCCUCAGACCACUAAUGGUUUCAACACCAGUUCAUUGAGAAAAACAGUAAUUUGAAUAAACAGUAUAUAU